CCUGCGGUUAAUCGGACUCAACGCCGGGAAACUCACCAGAUAAGACAGCUGAAUGAUAGUCGGGCUGAAGACUCUACUUGACUAGCUGAGAGGAGGUGCAUGGCCGUCGUCAGUUCGUACUGUGAAGCAUCCUGUUAGGUCAGGCAACGAGCGAGACCCACGCCAACAGUUGCCAGCUCGUCCUCCGGGAUGGAGGGGACACUGUUGGGACCGCCUCUGCUAAAGAGGAGGAAGGAAUGGGCAACGGUAGGUCAGCAUGCCCCGAAUUAUCUGGGCUACACGCGGGCUACAAUGGGUGGGACAAUGGGUAUCGACACCGAAAGGUGAAGGCAAUCUCCUAAACCCAUCCUUAGUUCGGAUUGUGGGCUGCAACUCGCCCACAUGAAGCUGGAAUCUGUAGUAAUCGUGUUUCAAAAUAGCACGGUGAAUAUGUCCCUGCUCCUU
rnacentral:rRNA from 1 species